rnacentral:tRNA from 1 species
GAGCGCGUAGCUCAGCCGGUAGAGCAUUCGACUUUUAAUCGAACGGUCCUGGGUUCGAGUCCCAGCGCGCUCACCA